rnacentral:rRNA from 1 species
UACGGAGGGUGCGAGCGUUGUCCGGAAUCACUGGGCGUAAAGGGCGCGUAGGCGGCCUGAUAAGUAGGGGGUGAAAUCCUGCGGCUUAACCGCAGGGCUGCCUUCUAGACUGUCAGGCUAGAGCACAGUAGAGGCAGGUGGAAUUCCCGGUGUAGCGGUGGAAUGCGUAGAGAUCGGGAAGAACAUCAGUGGCGAAGGCGGCCUGCUGGGCUGUUGCUGACGCUGAGGCGCGAAAGCUAGGGGAGCAAACGGG